rnacentral:antisense_RNA from 1 species
UGUUAUGGUGGGUCUUUGUUUGGGCAGCAUUCGUGCUGGCCGUUCCUACGGGCGGUAGUCUCAACCUGAAUUUAGAUCCACCACCUUA